ACAAUGGCCAGACCAUAUAUAAAAAUAGAAUUCUGAGCCACAAUCUGCAGCAGCCAGCCCUGGAGACCAAUCUGUUAUUUAUACUAACUAGCCCAGGAAGUUAACCUACAAGUCAUAGUCAGUCUACAAGUCAUAGUUGUAGAAAGUCAAAAUGUUGUCUCCAGCAAACAGUUCAAGAAGUCAAACAAUAACCCCGGUAACAAUUGGCCCCAAUUGUGAGAUUUGAUUAAUAAGACAGCUUCCCUAGUUUUUGUUCAUGCUUUCAAUGAGACCAACCAGAGAAAGCCAAAUAUGCCCUCCUAACCAACUAUAUAGGACCCCCUUUCCCACCUACCUACAGCUUCCCCAUGUCAUAGCACUUGUUCCAUCAAGUGCCUACAAGUGACAGGAGUAAAGAUUUAAAUAAACAGAAGCUGAAUCAGUACAAGAAAGUGGUUUUGCUGUCAAAUGACUAUAAAAGUAUAGGAUCGACUUAGGAUUUCAGGCAAGCAACAGAAAAAUUCUCCACUGGUUUUUAUCCUAGAGAUGCUUUUGGUGAUGACCCUACAGCAGGAUAAUCCUGGGAUCCUUUCCAACUGUAAGAAUAUAUUAGACUGAGAGGACCCAAGAAACCUAAUUUCUGGCACUCCUGACCAUGACAAAGCCCAUAUAACAGGUUACUUACUGCAAGGAAAAUAUCACCGUCAUUCAUCACUAAUUCCUCAGAAUAUUAAGGAAUCACCACCACCAAUAGUAUCACCAAUAGUAAAGUUCUGAGAAAUUCUGUA